rnacentral:misc_RNA from 1 species
AGGGAGCUGUCGAAGGUGGGAUCGGCGAUUGGGACGAAGUCGUAACAAGGUAGCCGUACCGGAAGGUGCGGCUGGAUCACCUCCUUUCUAAGGAGCACCACGAGAUCUGGGCCGGCCCGCAUGUCGCGGAUCAGCCGAGUCCCAGACGAUUCGAUGGAUGGGCCGCGCCUGUAGUGGGUGUGGUUCUGGUGCACAACAAACGUUGACCGGUUCGGGAGCCUUUCGGGCGCCGGUGAAAAGAACUGCUGGACACACUAUUGGGCUUUGAGACAACAAGCCCGCGGGCUCAUCCCGGUUGGGGUGGGUGCCGGCCCCCUUGGAGGGGGUUCUUGUUGUUGCCCUGCUUUGGUGGUGGGGUGUGGUGUUUGAUUUGUGGAUAGUGGUUGCGAGCAUCUAGGCAGCGAGCGUGUG